rnacentral:rRNA from 1 species
AGGUAAGCGAGAACAGCCGAAAGUAGUGUAUUAGUUAUUCUUUGCAGUUGUUGCAUGCACUCAGUAUCGUAUCAUUAUCGAGCGUGCUGGGAGUUUUGUGAUUGCUGUGAGGGUCUUGCUAUACACUUUUACCAUAAGCGAUGGAUUUGAAGACAUGACUUUGAGGAGGUAGCAUUCUUGCGUUUUAGUUGGAAUGUGAAACUUUUUGAAGUGCUCUUCUAGAUCUAUUGUUGCGGUUUUUUUGAUUUAUGUGAGCCAUCUCUGUCGAUUAUUUGUUUGAGACUCAUUAUGUAGUGUCGGUGAAUAAUUGGCUUAGAAAGGGUUUGCCGCUAAAUUGAAUUUAUACUUUAUGGUUCCAAAAGUAGGUAAUGUUCUCGUCCCGUCUUGAAACACGGACCAAGGAGUUUAGUUUGUGCGCAAGUCAAUGGGUUCUACGAAGCUCAAAGGCGAAGUGAAAGCAAAGGGUUCCCUUCGGAAUCUUAGGUGUGAUCUGCGAUCUUCGGAGAGCAGCGCAACACCGGCUCGUCCGUACUUUUUAAGUUGGGCGACGCAAGAGCGUACAGACUGAGACCCGAAAGAUGGUGAUCUAUGCUUGUGUAGGUUGAAGCCAGAGGAAACUCUGGUGGAGGACCGCAGCGGUUCUGACGUGCAAAUCGAUCGUCAAACAUGAGUAUAGGGGCGAAAGACUAAUCGAACCAUCUAGUAGCUGGUUCCUGCCGAAGUUUCCCUUAGGAUAGCUGGCACUCAUGAAACAAUCAGUUUUAUCCGGUAAAGCGAACAUUUAGACGUAAUGGGAUCGAAACGAUCUCAACGUAUUCGUGAACUUUAAAUGGGUGAGAAGUCUUAGUAUCUUUAAUUGUACUAUGACAUUGAAUGAGAGUGCCAAGUGGGCCAAUUUUGGUAAGCAGAACUGGCGCUGUGGGAUGAACCAAACGGGUGGUUAAGGUGCCUAACGCAACGCUCAUGAGAUACCACAAAAGGUGUUGGUUGAUAUUGACAGCAGGACGGUGGCCAUGGAAGUCGGAAUCCGCUAAGGAGUGUGUAACAACUCACCUGCCGAAUCAACCAGCCCUGAAAAUUGAUGGCGCUGGAGCGUUGGACCUAUACCGCCCUGUGACCCCAAGCCGCAUGAGGAAGGGGUCACAAGUAGGCAGGCGGAGUGGUAAGCUUUGAAGAAUUGGGU